rnacentral:rRNA from 2 species
GUGGGGUGACUGCGUACCUUUUGUAUAAUGGGUCAGCGACUUAUAUUCUGUAGCAAGGUUAACCGUAUAGGGGAGCCGAAGGGAAACCGAGUCUUAACUGGGCGUUAAGUUGCAGGGUAUAGACCCGAAACCCGGUGAUCUAGCCAUGGGCAGGUUGAAGGUUGGGUAACACUAACUGGAGGACCGAACCGACUAAUGUUGAAAAAUUAGCGGAUGACUUGUGGCUGGGGGUGAAAGGCCAAUCAAACCGGGAGAUAGCUGGUUCUCCCCGAAAGCUAUUUAGGUAGCGCCUCGUGAACUCAUCUUCGGGGGUAGAGCACUGUUUCGGCUAGGGGGUCAUCCCGACUUACCAACCCGAUGCAAACUGCGAAUACCGAAGAAUGUUAUCACGGGAGACACACGGCGGGUGCUAACGUCCGUCGUGAAGAGGGAAACAACCCAGACCGCCAGCUAAGGUCCCAAAGUCACAGUUAAGUGGGAAACGAUGUGGGAAGGCUCAGACAGCCAGGAUGUUGGCUUAGAAGCAGCCAUCAUUUAAAGAAAGCGUAAUAGCUCACUGGUCGAGUCGGCCUGCGCGGAAGAUGUAACGGGGCUAAACUGUGCACCGAAGCUGCGGCAGCGACGCUUAUGCGUUGUUGGGUAGGGGAGCGUUCUGUAAGCCUGCGAAGGUGUCCUGUGAGGGAUGCUGGAGGUAUCAGAAGUGCGAAUGCUGACAUAAGUAACGAUAA